UACGGAGGAUGCAAGUGUUAUCCGGAAUCACUGGGCGUAAAGCGUCUGUAGGUGGUCAAAUAAGUCAACUGUUAAAUCUUGAGGCUCAACCUCAAAAUCGCAGUCGAAACUAUUAGACUAGAGUAUAGUAGGGGUAAAGGGAAUUUCCAGUGGAGCGGUGAAAUGCGUAGAGAUUGGAAAGAACACCGAUGGCGAAGGCACUUUACUGGGCUAUUACUAACGCUCAGAGACGAAAGCUAGGGUAGCAAAUGGG
rnacentral:rRNA from 1 species